rnacentral:tRNA from 1 species
GCCCUCGUAACUCAACAGGUAGAGUAGCGGCCUUUUAAGCCGAAAGUUGCAGGUUCGAUUCCUGCCGGGGGCA